rnacentral:lncRNA from 1 species
AACCUUUAGACACUUCUCCAAAUUGUUAUGAUGUGAUAUUUGCUUUUAAUGAUCACCACAACAGGAGUCAAAUUGCUUGAUUCAAGGAUGUGUCAAGUUUUAUGAUUCCUGCGCCAAAAUAAAAUAACAUAAAAAUAAACUCUCAAAAAACACUGACCACACUUCAGUGCAUAGUUAAAGUUGAUAUUAUCAGCUGUCUUAGAUGUGUGCUUCAUUUGUGUUUCAUUCACAAAACUACAUUUUUAAUGAUCUUUUAGAAAUCUAGCCAUUUCCUCCUUAGCCUGUUCCUGUUCAAUCCCCCACAGAACGUUAUCCCCAUUACGUUCAUAUACAGACUGAGACCCCAUCUCAGUCUUUCCUCCUCUCUGUUUUCUUAACAAAGCGAGACCUUUUUUGUUCCUUAUGGCUGUGGAUACUUUAACCUCUAGCAAACUAGAUCUAUUAUUGUUGAUGUUGCAGUAUUUUCACAGGCAACUGGCAGACUUCAGGUAAUUUGAGUUUGAGUCAUUCAUUUUAAUAGGACAAUUUUAGAGAGGUGGGGAAUAUUUGGAAAUUGGCCAGAUUCAGACUUGUUUAAAAGCACAAUAGCUUUUACGUGUCAUGAUAACACGCAUUACCCACAGUGCCAUUGCUCAAAUAGAUCCAAGGAGAGACCAAAUGCCCAAAAAGACAUCAGAAAACAAUAUAUAAAAGAGAAAAGAUUAGAGAAAAGCUGGAAUAAGAAAGUGCUGACUGUUACGGCAGACACAGCCUUUGUCUAAAUAUUCUCCAGUAUUUUACAUGGGUAAAAAAAAAAAAAUGUUACAGUUUGUUAUAAGUUAUCAUGCAUUCAGAGUUUAGUGUGGGUGGAGAGUCACGUCACUUGGGGUUGCUGGGGGUCGUGUGGUAGGGGUAGAGUCCUAAACCAUUUCUAUACACACUCUUAUGUGAAACAUACGUUACAUUCUGGUGAAGAGGCACAGAGACCACUGCUUUUCCCCCCAGUCCCCCCAAAAAUACACACACACAAAUUGGUCCUGCCUGUGCCAAAAACAUAUUUUUUGACUCCCCCUUUUUCUUCAGUCACUCCUACCCUCCUUCCAUCUCUCCAGCCCUCCCUCUCCUUCUCCCUCUCCCCACCUCUCUCUCUCUCUCUUCUCUCUCUCUCUUCGUCGUAGGAAAUACGCCCUCCCUCCUCCUUCUCCCUCUCCCACCCUCUCUCUCUCUCUCUUUCUCUCUCUCUCUUGCUGGAAAAUCAAGGGUCAGAUUGGAAGUACUCAGCUUAGGCACAGAUCACCACUGGAAAGGACAGAGAGAGGAGGGUGGAGAGAGAGUAAAAGAAGGGAAAAGUUUAAUACAGGUACAAGAAGAAGAAGAAUGGGCAACUAGGGCAUUAAACUGUAUUGCCAUGAAAAUAGAUGGAGAAUCAUAUCUCUGGUUAAGAAGGGAAUCUGUGGACUGCUCACUCUACACAACUUGGAGUAACUUUGAUAGUACAAUCACAGUGUGAAGAGAAAGAAACAUCAGUUGCUGUGACAUGCUGGUAAGAUUCAAUUUGACCAAGCUAGCCACUGUGAAGAGAAAUGGCAGAAGAAAUGUUCAUAAAUUGCACUGCAUUCAGCUCAAACAUAGAAGCAUGUUGCAUUCACAGGCCUAAGUGUAUCAGUCCUUGUGCAGGACAAACUGCUUAAGCAAAAUGCACACUGCUAGAAGAUAUCUUCAAAAUCAAUAUACAGUCAUAGUUUGUAUGUUUAUCAAAAUGCCUGGGGAUUAUCACUGACCUCUGUAAUACUUUCCAGAUUGUCAGUUUAGGUUAGAGCUUUCCAUUUCAUCUGCCUUACAUUGCCGCACUUAGGCUGCUUUCAUUUGGUGAUCAAUCACAGCCACAUAAAACGGCAAAGUGCAGUUUACUCUUUGGUUCAGUGGCCAGCUGUAAACCGGCAUGACAUAGGCUAGGGGCCAGGCCACAUAAAGGCCAGGGUGGCAUAGGUUCAUCCAGAUCAACAAAUGGGCUAUCCAGGGUCAGAAACUCAGAAUAUAUGAAUGGUUUGAAAAUUAUGAAAAAUACAAACACAGACACCAUAUUUUUUGACACCUUCUACAAAAAUUGCAUGAUUUUUAACCACACACAAUAAAGUAAAUAAUAAUAAUAAUAAUAAUAAUUCAAAUAAAUUACAUUUGGAGUCAUGACAAAGUAAACAAUCUAAUUUAAUAUUCCCAAGUUUUGCUAAUAUUGUUGUGUUGCUGCAUUCAAGUUCAGCAUUCAACCAUGAAUUCAACCAAAAUUGUCUUUAUAUUUGAAUGAAUUAAAUUACAAACCAACAUACGUACAGUAUAUGGCCAUGAGUUAGCAUUGUUUUUUUUUUUUUAUUUUUGGGAUGAAAUUUUGUUCAUACGUGUUCCAUAUUUUUGGUAACAGUAGAAAACUGUCAAAUCUCUUAUAAAAUCCAUCAAAAAUAGAAGUAUUCCUGCCAUUUUUAGUUUGACCUCCUGUGACUGACUUCCAACAUACGUUUAAGCAUCUCUUUUUUCCCCUUCCAAUGCCUAUUUGAAAAAAUUUCAAGUCCAAUUUUGUAUCCCAUUAUUUGAAAAGAACCUCAUAGUAUUCACAAUGAACACUUUACAGUAAACACUACAGAAUAAUACACAUAUAGACAACAAAAUAAGUAUUCUCCAAAUAUGAAAUAGUGUUUUCUUUCCACCGAAAGACUUUGUUCAUCCUUAGCUAAUUCUUAUUAAAGCUCAUUUUUAUUUCAGCCAUUGCUGUGUUUCAUGAUGGUGCAUAUAUUUUGUCCAAAAUUAAAAUGUGUUUUAACUCAUGUCUUUUUAGGUAAAUAAAUUAUGUGACUAGAUAAUUCACUUACUUUCAAUGUUUACUAAAGAAUAUUAAAUGGAACAAACAUAACCUUCCUUUUUGAAUAUUAGUAUAUCAUCGUCUGACUCAUGUCUCCUGACACUUCGAAAACUAACAGUAAUGCACACCAACGCUUAAUUCAGUAAGUCACUUUUGCAAGACAUGUUGGCCAUAAGAAUGAAUCUGCGAAGACUGUUUGAUCAUGUCUUUUCUAUUUGUUUAACAAAAUACGCUGCUCAGUGCUAACACAAAGAUGAUUAAAUCACCCAGGCUGGUUUUAAUAUUAUUUUGACAUUUAGAAAUUUAGCACCUAGCAUUAAAAAUAAUUUUCAAUGCAUUCUCUAAGUGAAAUUGUCUGUAGUGAACCUGAAGUGCAAAUGAUUGUCUACCUUUCGUUCAUGCACCCCACUGACUGUACAUUUCGAAAAUAUGUUUUGCAUAUUCAUAAUAGCUAAUUGAUGACAACCACCAUGAUAUAGGCCAGGUCUUGAGGUCAACUUUCAAACUCACCAGAGGAAAGCUUAAGAGUUGAACAUUUGGCCCCUAUACAGCAAUGUUAAUUAAAAUUAAACACACUGACCCCAAUAAAACUUUUCCUGUCAAUUAUGUGACAUUUCCAGCCUUUCUCGAGCUGUUUGUGACCAGUGAUUACAUAUGUCCCAUAAUUACUCGACCACCACAAUCUUCGUCCCGUUUUGUUGCUCAAAUGGCGUUUAAUUGGCUGGAAAGAAUGUGGUGUCUUUCUUGAUUAUUUCAUACCACAUUUAUUAGGUGCUGUAAAAGCUACAAAGGAAUCCUACUGGCAGUAAGAUAACAUUACCAAGAAUGUCCUCAGGGUCUUUGUGCUCUAAAAGAGACAGUUACUAUUCCAUUCACCAUGAUUAUUUUCACCAUGUUAUUCAAUAUUCAGUAAUGCAAUAAAAAUGUCUGCAGAAUGUGGUCACUGUUUCAUACAGAAGAAAAAACUAAGGAAUCUAUGAAUACAGUAUUCUUUUUAGUCACAAAUCAAAAAGACUUUGCCAUGUAUUAUGCAAGAUGUCAAUUUCCAUUAGGGGGAACUGAAUCUCAAAUAAUUGUCUAAAUGGUAAAAAGUCAAAGAGAUGAACUAACCGUCAAGGGAAAAGUUUGUAAUCCCUUGGAUUUAGGAGUUCAAACCCAAACGUUACUACAACAGUGACAAAGCUGGUUUCAGAUCAAUACAAAAUUGCUGCUUCUACCUAAACGAUAAAAAGACAGUGUGGUUUUGUGCACUUUCAUUUAGUCUGUCAGUGAGAUACCACAGCAAACGCAUGUUUUUGAGACUGAGCUUCUGAUCUGAAAUCCAAUAAACUACAGAUGAGAUCACACUUACAAAACUCAUCCAUUUACCCCACUUGAUAUUUUCUACCUUUUUCUGUGACACAUGGGAUUGUGUUUUUAUUUUAUUAAUAGACUUAUCCCCCACAGUACUGCCACAAAACAGAACACAGUGCACACAGUGAGUCGCAACAAC